GCGAUCAGAUACCGCCCUAGUUCUAACCAUAAACGAUGCCAGCCAGCGAUCCGGCUGUGUUCCUCAAAUGACACGCCGGGCAGCUUCCGGGAAACCAAAGCUUUUGGGUUCCGGGGGGAGUAUGGUUGCAAAGCUGAAACUUAAAGGAAUUGACGGAAGCGCACACAAUGGAAUGGGGCCUGCGGCUUAAUUUGACUCAACACGGGACAUCUCACCCGGCCCGGACACAAGAAGGAUUGACAGAUUAAGAGCUCUUUCUUGAUUUUGUGAUAGGUGGUGCAUGGCCGUUUCUGGUUGGUGGAGUGAUUUGUCUGCUUAAUUGCGUUAACGAGCGAGACUCUA
rnacentral:rRNA from 1 species